GAGAGCGAAUCCGCUGUUUAGACUUGUUCGGUCGGGACGUCAAUGGCACGUUGCAAGCUCUAUUUACCGAAUAAACCAGAUGCAUAAGUAAACAUUUAUACUCGCGUUGAUAAAAUAUCAAAGAACGCGAGCAUCAGAAGCGGCUUGAUAAGCGUGAAGAUCGUGAAGUUCGAGCGGCGCUGCAGUUGGAACUUGGUUUCGAUAUUGGAUAUGUUGCAAAGAAGGUACAUCCGGCCCAAGGUACUGCCACAAUGGUCCAGGAGGAAUUCCCUUCGUUUCUGGCGUACCUGUAUAUCCUCUGUGGACAAAAGGUGGAGCUGGAAUCAACUGAUCAUAUCAUGAAAUUGAAAAAUAUGUACCAAUUUACUAUUAACAACGCCUGUAGAUGUUUACAUUUUUGGAACUGUUGUGCAUUGAUAAUACGACCAAACUAAUAACAAUUUCUUUUUUGAUCAAAUACAUUAUAUAAAAGAAAAUCAGUAAUAAAUGUUGGUUCAUCCUCGGGGAAAAACACAUUCUUAAUAAACAAAAUGUAUAUGUAUAUAAUAGCUAAAUGUAUACCGUAUGUACUGAAAUUAUGUGAUUAACGUGACAUGAAUCUUCUCAAUCAUG